rnacentral:lncRNA from 1 species
CUUUUCCAAAUGGCAUGUUGUAUAAAUUUCUGAAGCAAAAAUCCAAAAUUUGAUCCUUAAUGCAAAAUCAGAUAUAUAAGAGGCAUCUGCUAGAUUUCAUAAUUGUCGUCACAAGGCACAGAACGAGGUUCUGCUUUGAAAUAGAAAACUGACUUUUUCAAAGUAAACUUAACCAUGGCCAUUGUCAAAGUCCUGGAUUAGUUAUUCCAUUUCUCCUUUUCACAACCAGGAGAUGUUGGAAAUAUGAAAUGAUGAAGAAACUGAAUGUAGUUCCAAAAUCUUCCAGAUUUUGUCCUUAAUCUGUAUGUGUGCAAGGAGCGAGAAAGGGAUGCAAGUUGUAAGUCAGAGCAGGAAACAUUGCUACUUUCAUUUUCUCUGGGAAAAGAAAUUGAAACCAAGAUUAAAAUGAGUCCUUGAUAAUCCUGAAUUGACCAUUUCUUCCAGGUUACAGAAGAUUUGCAGAGAAAAUGCAAGCUAUAUUUUUUUUCUUCUACAUAUCCAGAAGGUGCCGUUUUAUCUCAAAUUUGGGAAGACAUUGACAAUCAUUCCUCUGCUCACAUCAUAUGAUAAUGGAAGAAUUGCAUUGCUUUGUAAAACCUAGUUCUACAUUAAAUGCCACAGAAGAUCCCUUCCGAUCAGAAAAGGGAGUUGAAGUGGAAAAAAGACUUGAUUCAGAAAAUUGUGGAAGAGACAUGUCUGUACAUAACACUGAGAAAUUGAGAUCAUAAGGACGCAAAGAAAUUAAUUAUAUCAUUCAAUUAUUCCUCGCACAGUCUUCAUAUUAUCUUAUAUACAUGAAUAUGUAUUUUUUAUUAAAACAUCUUAGAAGAAAAAUGUAUAUACACACACAGACCCAUACAUCUAUUCUAUUGUAGAAAGUGGGAGAAGAAUAAUGUUCUUGAUUAAAAUAUAAAUUUAUUCUAUACUAUUAUUAAGAUCUUUUGCUUUUCAACACAGAGCCCUACUUGACCACCCAAAGAACUUGUACGAGAAAGAAAGUUUCAGAGUUCUUCAUUGUCAUAGAGAGAGAGAGAGACAGAGACAGAGACAGAGACAGAGAGACAGAGGAGUGUAUUUGUGAGCACUGAGAGAGAAAAAUUGUCUAUUUGCUUGUUUUACCAUGUAAUGUUCACUUCUGUGGAAUGCUGCUGAGAGGUUAAUAAGAUGAAGAUGAUGAAAAAUCCUUUAAAACUGAAACAUGGAGGCUGUUGAUAAUUUUGAGGCAAAUAUAUUAGGUGGUGUGGUGAGUGGAAGCUCAAGCGAAGCGAUUUAUUUAGAGGAAGAUGGGGGAGGGGUUAAUGAAGGAGUUUUCUUUUGAAUUGGGAGAUAUCAGCAUAUGUUUUAAGGUUGAAUUGGAACAAUAGAGAUGAAGAUAUUCAUGACAUUAGAUAUGGAGGUUAUAAUUGAAGAAUGGAAGAUUCUGUGAAGGAAAGCAUAGGAGGACGAGGUCAAAGCUACAAAUGAAGGAGAUGGGACACAACAUCCAUUGUAAUAGAAGAGAAGGAAAAAAUACUGUAGGGUUAUUGGUGGAAAGUUGAGGAAGAUAUUUUACCUUUGAUGGGUUCUAUUUUCUAAAUAACAUAUAAAGUGAAGGCACCGGCUUAGAAUGAAGGAAGGUUGAAGGUGUUUGGGGAAGAAGAGUCAGUGUUUCUUCCUUGGCUUCAUAGCGACCUACCAAAGAGAAAAAUGUACAAUGGCUGACAAUACCACGUCACAGUCCCCUCCUGC